rnacentral:lncRNA from 10 species
UGUAAUUUCAGUACUUUGAGAGGCUGAAGCAGGAAGAUGACCUGAGCCCAGGAGUUUGAGACCAGUUUGGGCAACAUAGUGAGACCCUAUCUCUACACACACACAUUUUUUUUUUUAAUUAGCCAGGUGUGGUGGCUCGUACCUGUAGUCCCAGCAACUCAGGAGGCUGAGUACAUCUCUUCACAUAUUAAAGACUUGAAGAGUGAAAUGUUUGAGGAACUUCUUAAGCACCUUUGCCACUCUGCAGAUGAAUUUCGGGAGGUCAUAAAAGCUGACAUGCGGAGGCAGAUGUUCGCUGAACUCUUCCUACAUUGUGACCACGGGAAGGUAGGGUUUUUGGAUCGGCAGAGGACAUUGGCCCUGCUGGAAUUGUUCUAUGACCAUAGUUCACAAAUGCUUAGGAGUUUACUUCGAAACCCACGACAAUGGCCAUUCAUUGAAUUUGAAGAGAUAAACUUGACUGAGUUGUGGGGAGACAUGGAUAAUCAGAAACACAUUUAUGAAGGU